GGUGGGAUCGCUGGGUCAUGAGUGCAUAUUUAACUUUGUAAGAAACUGUCAGAUUGCUUUCCAAAGUGGCUGUCCCAUUUAACAUUCCUACCAGCCGU
rnacentral:pre_miRNA from 1 species